UACGAAGGGUGCAAGCGUUACUCGGAAUUACUGGGCGUAAAGCGUGCGUAGGUGGUUUGUUAAGUCUGUUGUGAAAGCCCCGGGCUCAACCUGGGAAUGGCAAUGGAUACUGGCAAGCUAGAGUGCGGUAGAGGGUAGUGGAAUUCCCGGUGUAGCGGUGAAAUGCGUAGAUAUCGAGAGGAACACCAGAGGUGAAGACGGGUUGCUGGGCCGACACUGACGCUGACAGCGCGAAAGCCAGGGGAGCAAACGGG
rnacentral:rRNA from 1 species